rnacentral:rRNA from 1 species
UAGGGAAUAUUAGUUAAUGUGCGAAAGCGCGAACUAGCAACGCCGCGUGUGCGAUGAAGGCCUUCGGGUUGUAAAGCACUUUUCCAAGGGACGAGGAAGGACGGUACCUUGGGAAUAAGCAUCGGCUAACUACGUGCCAGCAGCCGCGGUAAAACGUAGGAUGCGAGCGUUAUCCGGAUUUACUGGGCGUAAAGCGCGUGUAGGCGGUUCGGUAAGUUGGAUGUGAAAGCUCCCGGCUUAACUGGGAGAGGUCGUUCAAUACUGCCGAGCUAGAGGAUGGUAGAGGAAGGUGGAAUUCCGAGUGUAGUGGUGAAAUGCGUAGAUAUUCGGAGGAACACCAGUGGCGAAAGCGGCCUUCUGGACCAUUUCUGACGCUCAUACGCGAAAGCUAGGGUAGCAA